UAGCUCAGUAGGUAGAGCAACUGACUUGUAAUCAGUAGGUCACCAGUUCGAUUCCGGU
rnacentral:tRNA from 3 species